ACCGCUGUAGCUCAGCGGAUAGAGCAUCAUUUUGACUAAAUGAAAGGUCGCGAGUUCGAAUCUCGCCAGCGGUA
rnacentral:tRNA from 1 species